UUCGUAGGCGGUGUGGCAAGUCGGGAGUGAAAUCUCUGGGCUCAACCCAGAGUCUGCUUCCGAAACUGCUGUGCUUGAGUGUGGGAGAGGCGCGUGGAAUUGCAGGUGUAGCGGUGAAAUGCGUAGAUAUCUGCAGGAACACCCGUGGCGAAAGCGGCGCGCUGGACCACUACUGACGCUGAGGAACGAAAGCUAGGGGAGCAAACAGGAUUAGAUACCCUGGUAGUCCUAGCCCUAAACGAUCAGGACUUGGGGUGCCACCCGUUCGGGUGUCGUCCCGGAGCUAACGCGUUAAGUCCUGCACCUGGGGAGUACGGUCGCAAGACUGAA
rnacentral:rRNA from 1 species